rnacentral:rRNA from 1 species
UACGGGGGGGGCAAGCGUUUGUUCGGAAUUACUGGGCGUAAAGGGCUCGUAGGCGGCCAACUAAGUCAGACGUGAAAUCCCUCGGCUUAACCGGGGAACUGCGUCUGAUACUGGAUGGCUUGAGUUUGGGAGAGGGAUGCGGAAUUCCAGGUGUAGCGGUGAAAUGCGUAGAUAUCUGGAGGAACACCGGUGGCGAAGGCGGCAUCCUGGACCAACACUGACACUGAGGAGCGAAAGCCAGGGGAGCAAACGGG